rnacentral:rRNA from 1 species
UACGGAGGGAGCGAGCGUUGUCCGAAGUUACUGGGCGUAAAGCGCGCGUAGGCGGGAAAUUAAGUGAGAAGUGAAAGGCUGGGGCUUAACCCCAUGCAGUGCUCCUCAUACUGGUUUUCUUGAGGGUGGUAGAGAGAAGUGGAAUGGCUGGUGUAGCGGUGAAAUGCGUAGAUAUCAGGAGGAACACCGGUGGUGUAGACGGCUUUCUGGACCGUAACUGACGCUGAGACACGAAAGCGUGGGUAGCAAACAGG